rnacentral:tRNA from 1 species
UCUCAUAAAUUUGAUGGUAUAGGAGGAUUUUUAUAAAAUCUUUGUUUUAGUUUGAAUCUAAAAUGAGAAAU